UACGUAGGGGGCGAGCGUUGUCCGGAUUUAUUGGGCGUAAAAGGCUUGUAGGUGGCCACGCGAGGUCGGAUGUGAAAUCACCCGGCUCAACUGGGAGGGGUCAUUCGAUACUGGCGGGCUCGAGGCCGGUAGGGGGAAGCGGAAUUCCCGGUGUAGUGGUGGAAUGCGUAGAUAUCGGGAGGAACACCAGUGGCGAAGGCGGCUUCCUGGACCGGUUCUGACACUGAGGAGCGAAAGCGUGGGGAGCGAUCCGG
rnacentral:rRNA from 1 species